rnacentral:misc_RNA from 1 species
UGAUCUCAAUUCCCUUAGGCUUUGUGAAUGCAGGCCUGUCCCUAGGGUAUUGGAUUUGGGGGUUCAUGCAGGCUCCUUGUAGGGCUAGCUCCCCUUAAAUAUAUUAGCUUUGGAGGAUGAAGCAAAAAGGCUCUUAGUAUCUGUUCAUUGGCUAUGGUGUAAUAAUUGUUCCAUCAUGGCAUUUAUCGAUGAAUCAGUGCAUGGGAAAUAACCAGGGAGACUUUUGCAGCAUUCUCUGCUUCUAAUUUGGUCAGAUCUAUCUGAUAAUUCAUAUC